CCUGCACCAGUGGCUGUGGCCGGGUUGGGGUGGGGGUGAAACCUCUUACUGGCCAGGCCUGGGCCAGGUGCUAACUUCUGGCGAUGGGACCUACAGGAAUCGGACCACAGCAACCUUUUAAGGCAGCCGAGACAGUUACCAUGAAGUGCCAUCUACAGCUGGGGGAAACUGAGACACAGAGACAUGUGCUCUACACAAGAACAAUUGCGUGGAAGGGAGCUGAUAAAGGAGUGAUGGUCCCUGACUAAAGCUACUAGCCACACGCGGUCAUUUGAAUUCAAAUUCGUAAAAUGAAAUGAAAUUAAAAAUCCCUCAGUUGCA